GACCGGGUUUUAGUAUAUACGAGUUUUUUAAAAUAUAAAAAAAGGAGCAAUACAUCUUUCUUGUUCUAUCAAGAGAGCGAUAUUGCUCCUUUUUUUAUUUAUUUUUUAUUUAAGACUUUUUUAGAUAAACAAAUAUUUUUGAAUGAUCAAAAAGGAAUCCUUUGAAAUGCAAAUAAAUAAAAAAAUUGGUGG
rnacentral:misc_RNA from 1 species